GUGUCCAUGUCUAAUGGAUGGGACAAAAGUCUUCUAAACUUCUGGUAUAGGUUUAAAUCCUAUUGGACGCA
rnacentral:tRNA from 1 species